GAGUUUGAACCUGGCUCAGGAUGAACGCUGGCGGCGUGCUUAACACAUGCAAGUCGAACGGGGAUGCCAUUUUUGAAGCGAUUAGCUUGCUGAGAGUGGAAAUGUUGGCAUCUUAGUGGCGGACGGGUGAGUAACGCGUGGGGAACCUGCCCUGUACAGGGGGAUAACACUUAGAAAUAGGUGCUAAUACCGCAUAAGCGCACAGUAUCGCAUGAUACAGUGUGAAAAACUCCGGUGGUACAGGAUGGACCCGCGUCUGAUUAGCUGGUUGGCGGGGUAACGGCCCACCAAGGCGACGAUCAGUAGCCGGCCUGAGAGGGUGAACGGCCACAUUGGGACUGAGACACGGCCCAAACUCCUACGGGAGGCAGCAGUGGGGAAUAUUGGACAAUGGGGGGAACCCUGAUCCAGCGACGCCGCGUGAGUGAAGAAGUAUUUCGGUAUGUAAAGCUCUAUCAGCAGGGAAGAAAAUGACGGUACCUGACUAAGAAGCCCCGGCUAACUACGUGCCAGCAGCCGCGGUAAUACGUAGGGGGCAAGCGUUAUCCGGAUUUACUGGGUGUAAAGGGAGCGUAGACGGUGCAGCAAGUCUGAUGUGAAAGGUCGGGGCCCAACCCCGGGACUGCAUUGGAAACUGUUGAACUGGAGUACAGGAGAGGUAAGCGGAAUUCCUAGUGUAGCGGUGAAAUGCGUAGAUAUUAGGAGGAACACCAGUGGCGAAGGCGGCUUACUGGACU
rnacentral:rRNA from 1 species